rnacentral:tRNA from 1 species
GUUGGGGUGGCAGAGCCCGGUAAAUGCAGGAAGCCUAAGCCUUCCCCUUCAGGGGUUCAAAUCCUCUCCCCAGCU